rnacentral:lncRNA from 1 species
GUGGUCUUCUGUUCUUCCGGAGAUCAGACUUCCUGCAAGGACUGGCAGCCCCGCCAUACCCAGAGGCUGAGUGAGCUGGCUGAGAGGGCCGGGUGGGAGGUGACGCUCAGCCUCGCCUCACAGCGGGGCCUGUGGGUGGGCAGUGGAGGAAGGCUCCUGAGGGCUCACCUGGGGCUCGGGAGGUGACAUCGCCUGUCACCUGAGCUGGCGCCUCAUGAGCGGAACCCAGCCCUGUAUGUGAGCUUCCGGGUCGGGAGUGGGGCCAGACCCACUGGGCUCCCCCACACACCCCUGGUGGAUGGGACAACCCUGUGGCAGAGGCCCAGGCACAAAGAGAGCCUGGACCCACCUUCGGAGCGGGGGUGUGUGACGGGUGGCCUGGGCCGCACAGCAUCGCCUUCUGCAAGCGUAGGUGCUCAAUGGGGUGGGACAGAUCAAUCAUGGCCCAUCCUAGAUACCUGGGGUGGCUGCGGCUGUACUUGGGGCACUGGACCCAGGUCCCACCUCAUCUGCAACCCCUCGGCCAAGGGCUGCUUUGCAGGUGAGGGUCCCUACCCUGGAACCCCCAAUUCAGUGCUGGGGCUCAGUCCCCACACUCCUGGGCCGGGUGGAGAGACACUGGAUGAGAAGGGGAUUGGAGUUUCAGGGGAGUCGAGGUGUGGAGCCACUGUGCAUGGCAAGCCUUCAUGCCGUGUAGUACCUGUGUCCCCUGGUCUCACCACCCGCCAUUCUGUCCAGACAGGCUGCUCCAUCCGAGGACCUGGGAGGACGGCAGGGGCCCAGCCCGAGGCGGGCUCCAUGGACAGAGCAGUGGUCUGGCUGUGGUCUGUUGCACUGCAGAGGGGUCUGGGCCGAGGCCGCCUGGACCUCACUGGAGACUGACCAGGCAGGUGUGUCCUGGAAGGGCCACCCCAGGAGCACAUGUGCGUCCCAGGGAAUUGGCUGUGGUUAAGUUUGCCACCUGGCACGACAGAGGCUGACUCGAAAUUAGGCCGAAUCAUUGAGAAGUACUAAUAUCUAGAAAUACCACAUUGUCCCCCCAAACAUCCAUCUCCCUCCUCUUGGGGACCCACUAUUCCCAUGGGGGCCUGGGCUGUGGGGGAAGUGGGCUCAGGUCUGAGAUCAUCAAGGGCCUCUCUCUGGCCUCGGCUUACGGUUCAGUGGGCUCAUACACCCUCGGCCCAAUGAGGGGUGAGCAGCCCUGGGAUGGGGCUUCCAGGAUCUCUGGGAAGUGGC